rnacentral:rRNA from 1 species
AGAACGCCGGGCGAGCGUUAGUACAUGCAAGUCGAACGGUAUCAUCCUUUCGGGGGUGAGAGAGUGGCGAACUGGUGAGUAACACGUAGGUUAUCUACCCUCAAGACGGGGACAACCCAGGGAAACUUGGGCUAAUACCGGAUGUGAGCAACUUUUAGUUGUUUGAAAGGUGGCGUAAGCUGUCGCUUGGGGAUGAGCCUGCGUCCUAUUAGUUAGUUGGUGAGGUAACGGCUCACCUAGGCAAUGAUAGGUAGGCGGCCUUAACGGGUGGUCGCCCACACUGGGAUUGAGAUACGGCCCAGACUCCUACGGGAGGCAGCAGUCGAGAAUAGUCUACAAUGGUCGGAAGACUGAUAGUGCGACGCCGCGUGAACGAUGAAUCCCUUCGGGGUGUAAAGUUCUUUUAUAUGUGAGCAGUGCUUCUUAUAUUAACAGUAUGGGGAGAGAGAUAUUAGCAUAUGAAUAAGCAACGGCUAACUCCGUG